UGGGGAAUAUUGCACAAUGGACGGAAGUUUGAUGCAGCGACGCCGCGUGGGGGAUGAAGGCCUUCGGGUUGUAAACUUCUUUUGCUCUGAACAAGGCAUGCCUUUGGGGUGUGUUGAGUGUAGGGGUUGAUUAGCGCCGGCUAACUACGUGCCAGCAGCCGCGGUAAUACGUAGGGCGCGAGCGUUGUCCGGAAUUAUUGGGCGUAAAGGGCUUGUAGGUGGCUGGUUGCGUCUGUCGUGAAAGCUCAUGGCUUAACUGUGGGUUUGCGGUGGGUACGGGCUGGCUUGAGUGCAGUAGGGGAGGCUGGAAUUCCUGGUGUAGCGGUGGAAUGCGCAGAUAUCAGGAGGAAUACCGGUGGCGAAGGCGGGUCUCUGGGCUGUUACUGACGCUGAGGAGCGAAAGCGUGGGGAGCGAACAGG
rnacentral:rRNA from 1 species